CCCAGACCGACCCUACUGCAUAGGGCAGGCAGGGAGAUCUCACUAGGGUCAUUUCAGAACCUGAGGGUCUCCCUUACACUGAGGGUGGGGAUAGUGCCAGCCUGGAGGAUAAAAUUUGUUUUAUUGGGAAGGAGGCUAUGGAGGCAUAAUAUGCCUCAAGCGUCGCAGAUGCUCCUCUAGUGGCUGUCCGGAAGACAACUAGAGGCUGGCUUAACCCUGCAAUGUAAACAUAGCAGUUUAUCUGAAACUGCUAUGUUUGCAUCUGCAGGGUUAAAACCUGAGGGACCUGGCACCUAGACCACUUCAUUGAGCUGAAGUGGGCUGGGUGACUAUAGUGUCCCUUUAAAGCCCUGCACUGCAUAAUGGCAUAGACUGUCAUGUGGUCCUUACGUAAUUAAACACUCUCUCAAACGUUUAAAACUUCUUUAGCAUGCACAGUCAGUUCUCGCUCAAGCCUGAUUGGCUCCAUUUGGCAAAACACUGCACUUUCUGCAGUCUCCGGUACUUUGAGGUGGGCCUCAGUUUGUUAUGGCAUAUUUCCCAGGCUGAGAGGUAAUAAAGGUCUUGGUCCUCGUGUGAUGGUGCAGCUGAGUCCUGGGUUGAUUAAGGCUGCUUGAGGGAUGUCUG